rnacentral:rRNA from 1 species
UAAGGAAUAUUGGCCAAUGGACGCAAGUCUGAACCAGCCAUGCCGCGUGGAGGAUGAAGGUCCUCUGGAUUGUAAACUUCUUUUAUCUGGGACGAAACACUUCUUUUCUAAGAGGCCUGACGGUACCAGAUGAAUAAGCACCGGCUAACUCCGUGCCAGCAGCCGCGGUAAUACGGAGGGUGCAAGCGUUAUCCGGAUUCACUGGGUUUAAAGGGUGCGUAGGUGGGUAUGUAAGUCAGUGGUGAAAUCCCCGAGCUUAACUUGGGAACUGCCGUUGAUACUAUAUAUCUUGAAUAACGUAGAGGUAAGCGGAAUAUGUCGUGUAGCUGUGAAAUGCUUAGAUAUGACAUGGAACACCAAUUGCGAAGGCAGCUUACUAUGCGGUGAUUGACACUGAGGCACGAAAGCGUGGGUAGCAAACA